UACAGAGGUCUCGAGCGUUAGGCGGAAUCACUGGGCUUAAAGCGUGUGUAGGUGGAUCGGUAAGUACCUUGUGAAAUCCCACGGCUUAACCGUGGAACUGCUUGGUAUACUGCCAGUCUUGAGCCAGCUAGGGGCUACCGGAACAAAUGGUGGAGCGGUGAAAUGCGUAGAUAUUGGGAAGAACACCGGUGGCGAAGGCGGCUCACUGGCUCAUAUCUGACGCUCAGGCGCGACAGCGUGGGGAUCAAACAGG
rnacentral:rRNA from 1 species